AUUGAACGCUGGCGGCAUGCUUUACACAUGCAAGUCGAACGGUAACAGGUUAAGCUGACGAGUGGCGAACGGGUGAGUAAUGCAUCGGAACGUGCCCGGUCGUGGGGGAUAACGCAGCGAAAGCUGCGCUAAUACCGCAUACGAUCUGAGGAUGAAAGCGGGGGACCGCAAGGACUCGCGCGAUCGGAGCGGCCGAUGUCAGAUUAGGUAGUUGGUGGGGUAAAGGCUAACCAAGCCAACGAUCUGUAGCUGGUCUGAGAGGACGGCCAGCCACACUGGGACUGAGACACAGCCCAGACUCCUACGGGAGGCAGCAGUGGGGAAUUUUGGACAAUGGGCGAAAGCCUGAUCCAGCAAUGCCGCGUGCAGGAAGAAGGCCUUCGGGUUGUAAACUGCUUUUGUACGGAGCGAAAAGGUCUCCUCUAAUACAGGGGGCUCAUGGCGGUACCGUAAGAAUAAGCACCGGCUAACUACGUGCCAGCAGCCGCCGUAA
rnacentral:rRNA from 1 species